UACGAAGGGUGCAAACGUUGCUCGGAAUCACUGGGCGUAAAGCGUCUGCAGGUGGUUUCCUAAGUCCACUGUUAAACCUUGAGGCUCAACCUCAAAUCUGCAUUGGAAACUAGGAGACUUGAGUAUAGUAGGGGUAGAGGGAAUUUCCAGUGGAGCGGUGAAAUGCGUAGAUAUUGGAAAGAACACCGAUGGCGAAGGCACUCUACUGGGCUAUUACUGACACUCAGAGACGAAAGCUAGGGGAGCAAAUGGG
rnacentral:rRNA from 1 species